CAGAAAAGUUUUAUGAACUGCAUAUUCAACGGCUUACCGUUAGAUCCACGAAUCCUAAAUACAAUUACAUGCGUAACGCGUCUAAUUUCUCGCGAGGCAUAUCAAGAUACACUUCGUCUGCUGUCAAGUUGCACCUCUGUUUACAUUAAUUUAUUUUCAAGAAACAGAUGUUUGCCCCUGACCAAACAGGGCGUCCAGCGUCGCCUCAUCUGGAUUUAGAAAGAACUGUUUGCGGAUGCUGCGCUGUUUGCAAAGUACACCUAAACUCUUCUGCAGACCCCAGACUUCUGCCUUGCCUGCAUAUAGUUUGUAAUACUUGCCUUACGAAGAUCUGCACAGAUGGAGCCAUCCAAGAUUGUCCAUUAUGUGCACAUUCCUUUUGUUUGUCUGAGGUUACAGAAUGUGCCAUUUUCGAAGACACGUCUAAAAAUAACAAGGUCCCCAAGUGUGCCGGGUGUGAAGAGAGUGAGGUUAGUGGAUGGUGUGUCCAGUGCGAGGAGGCCCUGUGUUUGGACUGUAUGUUUGCUCAUCGUAGGGUAAAAGUGACCCGUGACCAUGAAGUCACACCCAAAA